GUUCCUCUGCUCAAGCCCCUCUUUUAUCUCUCUCGCACCCAACCGCCCCUCUCCCUCCCUUUCUAUCUGAAAAAGGCAGAGAAAUGUCGCAUUUCGGAAGAUCGGGCCCUCCCGAUAUCAGAGAUACCUUCUCUCUCCUCGUUCUCAACAUCACUUUCCGAACUACAGCCGAUGAUCUGUUUCCCCUCUUCGAUAAGUACGGAAAGGUCGUCGAUAUCUUCAUCCCCAGAGACCGACGGACGGGAGAAUCCCGAGGAUUUGCGUUUGUUCGGUAUAAGUAUGCAGAUGAGGCGCAGAAGGCCGUGGACAAGCUUGAUGGAAGGAAUGUUGAUGGUAGGGAUAUUAUGGUCCAAUUCGCAAAAUAUGGGCCCAGUGCCGAACCUAUUCACAAAGGAAGAGUGGUAGAGAUGCUUCCAAGGACUAGAGGAAGGUCAAGAAGCCGUAGCCCUAGGCGAAGGUAUCGAGAUGACUACCGUGGGAGGGAUUACAGAAGGCGAAGUCGGGGUCGAAGCCGUGAUAGGUAUUACCGUGAUAGGUACUAUGGGAGGGAAAGAGAUUACCGCCGUCGUAGCAGGAGCCGCAGUGUCAGUCCUGAUUACUACAAAGGCCGCAGUAGAGGCAGGCAUGAUGAUGAACCAAGGAGGAGCAGAAGCAGAUCAAUAGAAAGUGCAUCCCCUCUGCGUCGCAGUCUUAGUCCCCGAAGGAGCCCUUCCCCGCGAAGGACACCUUCCCGUGACGGAAGUCCUGAUAGGCGCAGUCCUGAUGAGCGAUCCCCAUCUCCAAGGAGUGUUUCACCACGAGGUCGACGUGCUUAUUCCCGAAGUCCAUCUUCACAGUACUCUGAUGAUGACUGAUCACAGUACUAGGAUCCUUGCAAGGAGAUGUCUCAAGGCAGAAGAUAUAUCUUUGUUUGCUAUUGACGGUUACCAGAAUUCCUUUCAGAUUCUGAAUGCUAUUUUGUUAGCCCUGGGCUUCUUAUCAAGUUAUGUUCGUGAAAGGAGUGAUUGUGGCUGAUCAGCGAGAUGGUUGCAGAGUGGUGUCCUUGCUUGUUGCUGAUGCUAUUUAUACUUCCUAAAUGAUGAUGAUGAUGUUCGUUUUGAUGCCGGUAACAUCUAACAGUAUGCUAUCAAAUCCGCCUAGACACCAGAAGCGCAUUCCAAGUUCUAGAUGAAAAGUGUAUGGUAAAUUAUUCUUUGACGAUCUCCUGAUUGAUAAGCCUAAUAUUUUUAACUCUCUAUCUAACAUAGUAUUAUCCAUCGGGAUUUUGUCUUUUGGCCUGAUCGUGCUCCCUGGGACUUUGGUGGUUUUGAGUUAUGGGUCCUGAUCCUGAUAGUAGUUGUAGCUGUGACGAACAAAAAGAUGGUCGAACGGGGUACGUGUCUUUACCUGUAGCUGAUGCUGCUGAUGGGCCAGCUACGUGCAGUUCACUUCCAACACUGACGCUGAUGCUAAAGAUGAAACCUAAUAUGCUGUGCUGACCCUUUCAUCUAGCUGCGAGAUUGGGACAGGGUAAAGGAUGAACACUGAUUGCUUACUUUUCCAGUAGGGUUUCUGUUUGGAUUUCACCUGUUUUUAGUGCAAUCUAGUCUUAGGGCCAUUUUUCAGAUGCCAAAAAAUGAAGUCACCUGAUUUAAGCUAAUCAUAAUUAUGUAUUAGAGAUCAUCAUUGUUGGUUAUUGAGAUUAUUUUUAAUCCUUUGCAAAAAAGAAUAUGAUCUCUAUACAUAAUUACGAUUAACUAAAAUGAGACAAUCAUUUUUAGGCUUAUACCAAACAGGCCUGUAGCUGUUAGGAUUUUCUGGCUCACAUUGCAUCAUGUACUCGGAUGUGAUAGCAUGCGGGGUCAUGAUUGUAGCUGUGAAGUGCUAAAGAUGGGGAGGGCUGGUAAAUGUUAUACAACUGUGGGCUGUGGUGUUGAUGUUGUCACUAUCCUUGGUGGGUGUGGAGUUGGGGUCGAGUUUAUUGAUUUUGGUGCUGCUAAGUGAUGCCUGAGUUUGGUUGGUGGAUCACUGUCUUCUCCAAGUCUCCAAUGGAUCAGCUUCCAUUGUUUUGGAGCUGAUCAGAUGCUGUUAUUGCCUUGAUGUUUGCUGUAUGAGGGGAGCCAUUUCUCUUUUCUACAUUGACAACAUCGCCAUUGCUUGGAUUGGGUCAUCUCAGGUGUUAUUUCCUUCAAAGAUUGGAAUCUUCCUGUCUGUUUAUUUGAGGCAAUGCUUUCUUCUGAUAUUAUACUGAUGUGAGGUUUGCUUACGCGGUAGUGCCGAGUGAGCAUUUUGCUCCCUUGCUGUCUUCCAUCCCUACAGCGCACCUGGCACAUGCCCAUGGUGGUACCGAUCCUUCACUUAGUAGGUUACCAUGGAGUUGAGCCACAUCCCAAAAAUAAUGGUGAUCCAUCUUAGAGGUUGAACCUGGUCUGCAAAGGAUGCUAAAGAAGGAAGUAGAAGUAGUAGGUUUGACUCUUGAGCUGUGGACCUGUGGUACAUGCAUCCGGUGAUUGACUAGAUCAAUGGCCUGAUCAUCCUAGAAGUUUGCCCUAUGUAUGGUGAGGACGUAGGAAAAGAGGGAACUGCUUAAUUUCCAAGACUGUAUAUCAUCUUUGCUGCUAGGGGCAUUUCCCUAAUUUCAAAUCUUACAAGUUAGGUGGCAUGCUAUAAAAGGCAAAGAGAUGGCAAUUUUCUGUUUGCAUAGAAGAAUUCCCCUUGUAUGUGUUCCUUCAAUGGACAAUUAACUGUAAUGAUUGUUUUUUCAGUAUGAUGAUAUGCCAAAAGACUAGAUUUUCCUA